AUUGAACGCUGGCGGCAGGCCUAACACAUGCAAGUCGAACGAGUGGCGGACGGGUGAGUAAUGUCUGGGAAACUGCCUGAUGGAGGGGGAUAACUACUGGAAACGGUAGCUAAUACCGCAUACCAUCGGAUGUGCCCAGAUGGGAUUAGCUAGUAGGUGGGGUAAAGGCUCACCUAGGCGACGAUCCCUAGCUGGUCUGAGAGGAUGCCCAGCCACACUGGAACUGAGACACGGUCCAGACUCCUCCGGGCGGCAGCAGUGGGGAAUAUUGCACAAUGGGCGCACGCCUGAUGCAGCCAUGCCGCUGGUAUGAAGAAGGCUUUCUGUUUGUAAAGUACUUUCAGCGGGGAGGCGUGACCCGCAGAAGAAGCACCGGCUAACGCCGGGCCAGCCGCCGCGGUAAUAC
rnacentral:rRNA from 1 species